GGUAGAGCAUCAGACUUUUAAUCUGAGGGUCGUGGGUUCGAGUCCCACAGAAGGAG
rnacentral:tRNA from 1 species